GCUCCUCCUCUCUAAUCCUUUGUCCCUGGGUAAGAGUGCUUUGGGAAUGCAGUGCACCCAGGCAAGGAUUCUGAGAGGGUGAGC
rfam:Heterocephalus glaber contig139643, whole genome shotgun sequence.